GCCAGGCAUGGUGGUGCAUGCCUGUAAUCCCAGCUACUUGGGAGGCUGAGGCAGGAGAAUUACUUGAACCCGGGAGGCAGAGGUUGCAGUGAGCCGAGAUUGCACCACUGUACUCCAGCCUGGGUGACAGAGCAAGACUCCAUCUCAAAGACAAGACCUUGUUCUGUCACCCAGGCUGUGGAAGACAGUGGUGCAAUCAUAGCUCAUUGCAGCCUUGAACUCCAGGGCUCAAGGCAUCCUUCUGCCUCAG
rnacentral:SRP_RNA from 1 species